GGCCCAGUGGCACAGUGGUAGUGCAUCUGCAUAAAGUGAAAUUGAAUGGGGAAACAGUAUGCAGACGACGUCGGUUCGAGUCCGGCCUGGGCCU